rnacentral:rRNA from 1 species
GAUGAACGCUGGCGGCGUGCCUAAUACAUGCAAGUCGAGCGAAUGGAUUAAGAGCUUGCUCUUAUGAAGUUAGCGGCGGACGGGUGAGUAACACGUGGGUAACCUGCCCAUAAGACUGGGAUAACUCCGGGAAACCGGGGCUAAUACCGGAUAACAUUUUGAACCGCAUGGUUAGAAAUUGAAAGGCGGCUUCGGCUGUCACUUAUGGAUGGACCCGGGUCGCAUUAGCUAGUUGGGGAGGUAACGGCUCACCAAGGCAACGAUGCGUAGCCGACCUGAGCGGGUGAUCGGCCACAAUGGGACUGAGACACGGCCCAGACUCCUACGGGAGGCAGCAGUAGGGAAUCUUCCGCAGUGGACGAAAGUCUGACGGAGCAACGCCGCGUGAGUGAUGAAGGCUUUCGGGUCGUAAAACUCUGUUGUUAGGGAAGAACAAGUGCUAGUUGAAUAAGCUGGCACCUUGACGGUACCUAACCAGAAAGCCACGGCUAACUACGUGCCAGCCGCCGCCGUAA